UACGGAGGGAGCUAGCGUUGUUCGGAAUUACUGGGCGUAAAGCGCACGUAGGCGGCUUUGUAAGUUAGAGGUGAAAGCCCGGGGCUCAACUCAGGAACUGCCUUUAAGACUGCAUCGCUUGAAUCCAGGAGAGGUGAGUGGAAUUCCGAGUGUAGAGGUGAAAUUCGUAGAUAUUCGGAAGAACACCAGUGGCGAAGGCGGCUCACUGGACUGGUAUUGACGCUGAGGUGCGAAAGCGUGGGGAGCAAACAGG
rnacentral:rRNA from 1 species